AAAGUCGUAACAAGGUUUCCGUAGGUGAACAUGCGGAAGGAUCAUUCAUAAUAAGUGUUUUAUGGCACGCUUUAAGUCUAUAUCCAUCUUGUGUGCAACGUCAGUCGAUCUCCUUCAUGAGAUCGGCCAAGCAUCAACCAUUCUUUUAACUCUUUGUCUGAAAAAUAUUAUGAAUAAACAAUUCAAAAUACAACUUUCAACAAUGGAUCUCUUGGCCCGC
rnacentral:misc_RNA from 1 species